UACGUAGGGGGCAAGCGUUGUUCGGAAUUACUGGGCGUAAAGCGCGCGCAGGCGGUUCUUUAAGUCAGGGGUGAAAGCCCAGAGCUCAACUCUGGAAUUGCCUUUGAAACUAGAGAACUUGGGUACGGGAGAGGUGAGUGGAAUUCCGAGUGUAGAGGUGAAAUUCGUAGAUAUUCGGAAGAACACCAGUGGCGAAGGCGGCUCACUGGCCCGUUACCGACGCUCAGGCGCGACAGCGUGGGGAGCAAACAGG
rnacentral:rRNA from 1 species